UACGUAGGCAGCGAGCGUUGUUCGGAAUUACUGGGCGUAAAGAGUGUGUAGGCGGUGCUCUAAGUUCGGUGUGAAAUCUCCUGCUUAACUGGGAGGGUGCGCCGGAAACUGGAGUGCUCGAGCGUGGGAGAGGAAAGCGGAAUCCUGGUGUAGCGGUGAAAUGCGUAGAUAUCAUUUGGAACGCCAAUGGUGAAAACAGCUCGCUGGGGAUGUACUGACGCUGAGAACACGAAAGCCCAGGGGAGCAAACGGG
rnacentral:rRNA from 1 species